CCUGAUGCCUUUGAUUCGGUUGAAGAACUUGAGGGCCUAUCCUCUAGUCUUGUUGAAGAAAAGUCCAGAAGAAAGUUGCUGCAGUUUUUGGUAGCACUGUGCGCAAACACCUGUGCAAACAGUGUUAGAAGAAUUAUGACAAAGCUGGGAACCAAUAAUCUAUGGCACCAACAUAGUUUAAAAUGCAGAAAGUCAAGCGACCAUUUCAACACCUUGCCCUCUGCAAAGUUAUAACAAAAGCCUGCCUCAAAGCUUAAAAAUGUUGCAGCGAAGCCAACGUAGAAGAGCAAAUUGCCGAAUUUUUAAAAUAUGCUCCAGGCAAGCAAGGUGGUUCCAGAUUAAAGGUCCGAAAAGGCAACUUAUUGUAAUCGACUUAAUAAGUAGAUUUUUGUAAAUAGGUUCAAUUAUUUUUCCGGUUCUCAUGGUAAAAAUGUUUUCUAGAAAUAUUCUGUCUUGAAUAUUUCUUUGUACUUAACUCAAUGUUACUUUGAUCAGUCAACGAAUAUUCCUCGUACCUUAAAUGAAGCAUACAGGACAUCUUUACCACAAUAUUCACAUUUCACAUUUCGAUAUUCACAUUCAUUCUUCAAAUGUUCAUCAAGAAGAGAGCGAAGUAACUGAAUGUUACACUGCUUAUGUACGCAGCUGACGAGCGCAUGCUCACAAACUUGAGAAUGACCCUGACAAUAAAGAAACUUAAAUUAGCACCAAACCAUUUGCAAUGUUCAGAAAGACAAUGUAAACGAAUAUUUUUCAAUUCACGUUUUGUGAAAUCGUCCGGGAAAGCCUACAUAGGUUUUAUAGAAAGUCAACACAGUUCAAAAAAACCGUCCGAAGCAAAAAUUGAUACAGCUGUAUGAGAAUUUCCCGCGUCAUAACUAUGGAAUAUUUUCACCUACGUUUUUCUUCUUAUUUUUUCUUGAUCUUCGGGACAUUUUGGAUCAGGACCUCUGCAGAUUGA